GAAACGCGAUAGUUAAUGUGAAUUGCAGAAUUUAGUGAAUCAUCGAAUCUUUGAACGCACAUUGCGCCCGCCAGCACUCUGGCGGGCAUGCCUGUUCGAGCGUCAUUUCAACCCUCAGAACCCCUUGCGGGAUCUGGCGUUGGGGAUUGGCAUCCAGCCAGCCCCGAAAUCUAGUGGCGGUCCCUCCGCGACCUCCCCUGUGCAGUAGCGAUACCUCGCAGCGGGACAGCGGUCUGACCACGCCGUAAAACCCCCAACUUCUCAAGGUUGACCUCGAAUCAGGUAGGAAUACCCGCUGAACUUAAGC
rnacentral:misc_RNA from 1 species